CGUAGCGCGCGGCGGCGGUGUGGACGCGCAGGCCGGGGAGAGAACCUAGUGCCGCCCUCGGGAGCAUGGCCCGGAACGCCACCCUUCCUGCCCGCAGCCCUGGGAGCCACUGAGAGUAUGAAAUCUUGGGAAGCAUUUAGUUCGGAGACUGGCUGGUUUUCUACAGUCUCAUUAGAAUCCGUUAUCGCGGACGAGAAAACAGCCCGUGCUUCUGCAUUCUUACCUGAAGAGCGAAUGCCCUUCUGGUGCCAUCUUCCUUCUUCAUAGACUCCAUGGAACUGCCAUCAUCUGACCCUUGCUGCCACCUGCUUGCAGAGCCUUGUGCCCCUCUUCACUCUCCCAGCAGGCUCUCUGCCAGCGGUGUUCCUGACUCAGGGUCUGACCCUAGGUCAGUUCUGCCAAGCUGAUUAGAGGAACUCUUGGACUCUAGCCUGCGUGCACAGACCCUCCAGGUCCGUACUGUCUUCAUCUCCCAACACCAUCCGAAAUUCCUCAGUGUACCCUUCUGGGUCAUCAUAAUGGCCAGUAUCCAUUCAACAGCUUAUUCUUUCUGGAACCAAAUAAAACCCUGGCAUUUGUCCUCCUAUUUAAUCCCUGUCAUUUACUCCUCAUGACAGCCUUACCAGGAAGAUACUACUGUUAUCUCCAUUUAACAGAACAGGAAACAAUAAUCCCUUUAUUUAUUUAUUUUUUGAAAAAUUCUAUCUAUCCAUUCAUGAGAGAAACAGAGAGAGAGAG